GAUGAACGCUGGCGGCGUGCCUAAUACAUGCAAGUCGAGCGAACGGACGAGAAGCUUGCUUCUCUGAUGUUAGCGGCGGACGGGUGAGUAACACGUGGAUAACCUACCUAUAAGACUGGGAUAACUUCGGGAAACCGGAGCUAAUACCGGAUAAUAUUUUGAACCGCAUGGUUCAAAAGUGAAAGACGGUCUUGCUGUCACUUAUAGAUGGAUCCGCGCUGCAUUAGCUAGUUGGUAAGGUAACGGCUUACCAAGGCAACGAUGCAUAGCCGACCUGAGAGGGUGAUCGGCCACACUGGAAUUGAGACACGGUCCAGACUCCUACGGGAGGCAGCAGUAGGGAAUCCUCCGCAAUGGGCGAAAGCCUGACGGAGCAACGCCGCGUGAGUGAUGAAGGUCUUCGGAUCGUAAAACUCUGUUAUUAGGGAAGAACAUAUGUGUAAGUAACUGUGCACAUCUUGACGGUACCUAAUCAGAAAGCCACGGCUAACUACGUG
rnacentral:rRNA from 1 species